rnacentral:rRNA from 1 species
CCUACGGGUGGCAGCAGUGAGGAAUAUUGGUCAAUGGCCGGAAGGCUGAACCAGCCAAGCCGCGUGAAGGACGAAGGUGCCAAGCAUUGUAAACUUCUUUUGUCAAGGGACAAAAUCAGGCUCGAGAGCCUGACCGAGGGUACUUGAAGAAAAAGCAUCGGCUAACUCCGUGCCAGCAGCCGCGGUAAUACGGAGGAUGCGAGCGUUAUCCGGAUUUAUUGGGUGUAAAGGGUGCGUAGGCGGGCUGGUAAGUCAGCGGUAAAAGCCCGGGGCUCCCCCCCGGCGAGCCGUUGAAACUGGCUGUCUUUAGCUGUCGAGAGUUAUGCGGCUUGCGCAGUGUAGCGGU